rnacentral:rRNA from 1 species
ACACUGUACGAGUUUGAUCCUGGCUCAGAUUGAACGCUGGCGGCAGGCUUAACACAUGCAAGUCGAGCGGAGACUUCGGUCUUAGCGGCGAACGGGUGAGUAAUACCUAGGAAUCUGCCUAUUAGUGGGGGAUAACGGCUCGAAAGGGUCGCUAAUACCGCAUACGUCCUACGGGAGAAAGUGGGGGAUCUUCGGACCUCACGCUAAUAGAUGAGCCUAGGCCGGAUUAGCUAGUUGGUAGGGUAAAGGCCUACCAAGGCGACGAUCUGUAGCUGGUCUGAGAGGAUGGCCAGCCACACUGGAACUGAGACACGGUCCAGACUCCUACGGGAGGCAGCAGUGGGGAAUAUUGGACAAUGGGGGCAACCCUGAUCCAGCCAUGCCGCGUGUGUGAAGAAGGCCUUCAGGUUGUAAAGCACUUUAAGCGAGGAGGAAGGUUUUUAGUUUAAUACACUAAAGAAUUGACGUUACUCGCAGAAUAAGCACCGGCUAACUCUGUG